UAAAGAAGCUUGCUUCUUUGAUGACGAGUGGCGGACGGGUGAGUAAUGCUUGGGAAUCUAGCUUAUGGAGGGGGAUAACUACGGGAAACUGUAGCUAAUACCGCGUAGUAUCGAGAGAUGAAAGUGUGGGACCUUCGGGCCACAUGCCAUAGGAUGAGCCCAAGUGGGAUUAGGUAGUUGGUGAGGUAAAGGCUCACCAAGCCGACGAUCUCUAGCUGGUCUGAGAGGAUGACCAGCCACACUGGGACUGAGACACGGCCCAGACUCC
rnacentral:rRNA from 1 species